GACGAACGCUGGCGGCGUGCCUAAUACAUGCAAGUCGAACGAGAGCGCCCGGUGCUUGCACUGGUCAAUCUAGUGGCGAACGGGUGAGUAACACGUGGGUAACCUGCCCAUCAGAGGGGGAUAACAUCCGGAAACGGAUGCUAAAACCGCAUAGGUCUUCGAACCGCAUGGUUUGAAGAGGAAAAGAGGCGCAAGCUUCUGCUGAUGGAUGGACCCGCGGUGCAUUAGCUAGUUGGUGAGGUAACGGCUCACCAAGGCCGUGAUGCAUAGCCGACCUGAGAGGGUGAUCGGCCACAUUGGGACUGAGACACGGCCCAAACUCCUACGGGAGGCAGCAGUAGGGAAUCUUCCGCAAUGGACGCAAGUCUGACGGAGCAACGCCGCGUGAGUGAAGAAGGUUUUCGGAUCGUAAAACUCUGUUGUUAGAGAAGAACAAGUGCUAGAGUAACUGUUAGCGCCUUGACGGUAGCUAACCAGAAAGCCACGGCUAACUACGUG
rnacentral:rRNA from 1 species